UGGGGAAUAUUGGACAAUGUGGGCAACCCUGAUCCAGCAAUGCCGCGUGUGUGAAGAAGGUCUUCGGAUUGUAAAGCACUUUCGACGGGGACGAUGAUGACGGUACCCGUAGAAGAAGCCCCGGCUAACUUCGUGCCAGCAGCCGCGGUAAUACGAAGGGGGCUAGCGUUGCUCGGAAUGACUGGGCGUAAAGGGCGUGUAGGCGGUUUACACAGUCAGAUGUGAAAUCCCCGGGCUUAACCUGGGAGCUGCAUUUGAUACGUGUAGACUAGAGUGUGAGAGAGGGUUGUGGAAUUCCCAGUGUAGAGGUGAAAUUCGUAGAUAUUGGGAAGAACACCGGUGGCGAAGGCGGCAACCUGGCUCAUGACUGACGCUGAGGCGCGAAAGCGUGGGGAGCAAACAGGAUUAGAUACCCUGGUAGUCCACGCUGUAAACGAUGUGUGCUAGAUGUUGGGUAACUUUGUUAUUCAGUGUCGCAGUUAACGCGUUAAAGCACACCGC
rnacentral:rRNA from 1 species